rnacentral:rRNA from 1 species
UGGGGAAUAUUGGGCAAUGGGCGCAAGCCUGACCCAGCAACGCCGCGUGAGGGAAGAAGGCUUUCGGGUUGUAAACCUCUGUCCUUGGUGACGAAAAAAAUGACGGUAGCCAAGGAGGAAGCCCCGGCUAACUACGUGCCAGCAGCCGCGGUAAUACGUAGGGGGCGCGCGUUGUCCGGAAUUAAUGGGCGUAAAGGGUGCGUAGGUGGCCUUUUAAGUUGGGUGUGAAAUCCCCGGGCUUAACUUGGGUGGUGCAUGU